AUUGAACGCUGGCGGCAGGCCUAACACAUGCAAGUCGAACGAGUGGCGGACGGGUGAGUAAUGUCUGGGAAACUGCCUGAUGGAGGGGGAUAACUACUGGAAACGGUAGCUAAUACCGCAUACCAUCGGAUGUGCCCAGAUGGGAUUAGCUGUUGGGGGGGGUAACGGCUCACCAAGGCGACGAUCCCUAUCUGGUCUGAGAGGAUGACGAGCCAAACUGGAACUGAGACACGGUCCAGAUUCCUACGUGAGGCAGCAGUGGGGAAUAUUGCACAAGGGGCGCAAGCCUGAUGCAGCCAUGCCGCGUGUAUGAAGAAGGCCUUCGGGUUGUAAAGUACUUUCAGCGGGGAGGCGUUACCCGCAGAAGAAGCACCGGCUAACUCCGUGCCAGCCGCCGCGGUAAUAC
rnacentral:rRNA from 1 species